rnacentral:rRNA from 1 species
CCCGCUGAACUUAAGCAUAUCAAUAAGCGGAGGAAAAGAAACUAACAAGGAUUCCCCUAGUAACUGCGAGUGAAGCGGGAAAAGCUCAAAUUUAAAAUCUGGUGGUCUUUGGCCAUCCGAGUUGUAAUUUAGAGAAGCGUCUUCCGCGCUGGACCGUGCACAAGUCUCCUGGAACGGAGCGUCGUAGAGGGUGAGAAUCCCGUCUUUGGCAUGGACACACCAGGGCUUUUGCGAUGCGCUCUCGAAGAGUCGAGUUGUUUGGGAAUGCAGCUCAAAAUGGGUGGUGAACUCCAUCUAAAGCUAAAUAUUGGCGAGAGACCGAUAGCGAACAAGUACCGUGAGGGAAAGAUGAAAAGCACUUUGGAAAGAGAGUGAAACAGUACGUGAAAUUGUUGAAAGGGAAACGCUUGAAGUCAGUCGCGUCGUCCGAGACUCAGCCUCGCCUCGGCUUGGCGUACUUCUCGGCCCGACGGGUCAGCAUCAAUUUCGCCUCUCGGAUAAUGGCGAGGGAAAAGUGACACCUUUACGGUGUGUUAUAGUCCCUCGUCGCAUGCGAGGGUCGGGAUUGAGGAACUCAGCACGCGCCUUCGGGCGUCGGGGUUCGCCCACGAUACGUGCUUAGGAUGUUGGCGUAAUGGCUUUAAACGACCCGUCUUGAAACACGG